UGUGUAGGUGGCGCGCUAAGUUCCGUGUGAAAUCUCCCGGCUCAACCGGGAGGGUGCACGGAAAACUGGCGGGCUAGAGUACGGGAUGGGAGAGUAGAAUUCCUGGUGUAGCGGUGAAAUGCGUAGAUAUCAGGAGGAAUACCGGUGGUGUAGACGGCUCUCUGGACCGUAACUGACACUGAAACACGAAAGCGUGGGUAGCAAACAGGAUUAGAUACCCUGGUAGUCCACGCCCUAAACGAUGCAUAUUUGGUGUAGGUCAUUCAGUUGAUCUGUGCCGGAGCUAACGCGUUAAAUAUGCCGCCUGGGGAGUACAGUCGCAAGGCUGAA
rnacentral:rRNA from 1 species